AUUUUUGGGAUUUUUUGGAAGUGGAUUUUUUGGGGGAUUUUUGGUGUUUUUUGGGAUAUUUUUGGGGAGAUUCAAGCGGGUUUUUUGUGGGAUUUUUCGGGGAGAUGUGAAGUGGAUUUUUUGUAGCGUUUUUGGUGGUUCGGGGGAUUUUUUUGGGGCUUUCAGGUUUUUUUUUUCCCGUGGGAUUUUUGGGAUUAUUUUGGGGUUUUUGGGAGGGUUUCAGUUAAUUUUUGUGGGAUUUUUUCAGUGUCUUUUCACGUUUUUGGGAUAUUUGGGGGGAUUUCAGGUGGGUUUUUUUGUGGGAUUUUGGGAUAUUUUGUGUUUUCAGGUAUUCUCAGGUAUUUUUGGCUGGUUUUGGGGACAUUUUAGAGUAUUUCUGGCUUUUCUGGGGCAUUUCCAGCUGUUUGUGGGGGGAUUUUUGGGGUGUUUCCAGAUGUGUUACAGAUGUUUCCCAGGUGAUUUUGGCCGUUGUUUUGUGUUCCCAACCCAUUUUUGGGGCAUUUCCUGAGGGUUUUCAGGUAUUUUUGGGUGUUCCUAGCUGUUUCCCAGAUGUUCUCAGCUGUUUCUCACGCGAUAUUCGGCGUUCCCAGAUGACAAUUCGGGAGAUUUUGGGGUCUUUUGGGUGAUUCCAGCUGUUUUACAGUCGUUCCCAGCCGAUUUUUGGGGUGUUUCCGAGGGGUUUUGGGUGUUUGGGGGGGUUUCCAGCUGUUUCUCACGUGCUUGUUUGGGUUUCCAGAUGUUCUGGGGGUAUUUUAGGUGUUUCCAGCUGUUUCUUAGGCAUUUCCCAGGUGUUCCCACCUUUUUUUUUGGUGGUUUUUGUGUGUUCCCAGCUGUGGUUUUUUGGUGGUUUUUGUGUGUUCCCAGCCGUUUUUGGGGGUAUUUUGGGCUAUUUCCAGCUGUUUUUCAGGUGUUUCCAACUGGCUUCUACCUCGUUUUUGGGGUAUUUGGGGUGUUUCCAGCUGUUUUUCACGUGUUUCCCAGGUAUUUCCAGCUGUUUUUUGGGUGCCUGCAGCUGUUCCCCAGCUGUUCCAGGUGACGUUGCCGUUCCCAGGAGGUUUUUGGGCUGUUUUUUGGGCUGGUUUUGGGCUGGUUUUGGGCUGUUUUUUCACACACACCCACACCUGUAUCACAUACACCCACACCUGUAUCACACACACACACACCUCUAUCACACACACACACCUGUACCACACACACACACCUGUAUCACACACACACACACCUGUAUCACACACACCCACACCUGUAUCACAUACACCCACACCUGUAUCACACACACACACACCUCUAUCACACACACACACCUGUACCACACACACACACCUGUAUCACACACACACACACCUGUAUCACACACACCCACACCUGUAUCACAUACACCCACACCUGUAUCACACACACACACACCUCUAUCACACACACACACCUGUACCACACACACACACCUGUAUCACACACACACACACCUGUAUCACACACACCCACACCUGUAUCACAUACACCCACACCUGUAUCACACACACACACACCUCUAUCACACACACACACCUGUACCACACACACACACCUGUAUCACACACACACACACCUGUAUCACACACACCCACACCUGUAUCACAUACACCCACACCUGUAUCACACACACACACACCUCUAUCACACACACACACCUGUACCACACACACACACCUGUAUCACACACACACACACCUGUAUCACACACACCCACACCUGUAUCACAUACACCCACACCUGUAUCACACACACACACACCUCUAUCACACACACACACCUGUACCACACACACACACCUGUAUCACACACACACACACCUGUAUCACACACACCCACACCUGUAUCACAUACACCCACACCUGUAUCACACACACACACACCUCUAUCACACACACACACCUGUACCACACACACACACCUGUAUCACACACACACACACCUGUAUCACACACACCCACACCUGUAUCACAUACACCCACACCUGUAUCACACACACACACACCUCUAUCACACACACACACCUGUACCACACACACACACCUGUAUCACACACACACACACCUGUAUCACACACACCCACACCUGUAUCACAUACACCCACACCUGUAUCACACACACACACACCUCUAUCACACACACACACCUGUACCACACACACACACCUGUAUCACACACACACACACCUGUAUCACACACACCCACACCUGUAUCACAUACACCCACACCUGUAUCACACACACACACACCUCUAUCACACACACACACCUGUACCACACACACACACCUGUAUCACACACACACACACCUGUAUCACACACACCCACACCUGUAUCACAUACACCCACACCUGUAUCACACACACACACACCUCUAUCACACACACACACCUGUACCACACACACACACCUGUAUCACACACACACACACCUGUAUCACACACACCCACACCUGUAUCACAUACACCCACACCUGUAUCACACACACACACACCUCUAUCACACACACACACCUGUACCACACACACACACCUGUAUCACACACACACACACCUGUAUCACACACACCCACACCUGUAUCACAUACACCCACACCUGUAUCACACACACACACACCUCUAUCACACACACACACCUGUACCACACACACACACCUGUAUCACACACACACACACCUGUAUCACACACACCCACACCUGUAUCACAUACACCCACACCUGUAUCACACACACACACACCUCUAUCACACACACACACCUGUACCACACACACACACCUGUAUCACACACACACACACCUGUAUCACACACACCCACACCUGUAUCACAUACACCCACACCUGUAUCACACACACACACACCUCUAUCACACACACACACCUGUACCACACACACACACCUGUAUCACACACACACACACCUGUAUCACACACACCCACACCUGUAUCACAUACACCCACACCUGUAUCACACACACACACACCUCUAUCACACACACACACCUGUACCACACACACACACCUGUAUCACACACACACACACCUGUAUCACACACACCCACACCUGUAUCACAUACACCCACACCUGUAUCACACACACACACACCUCUACCACACACACACACUUGUACCACACACACACACCUGUAUCACACACACACACACCUGUAUCACACACACCCACACCUGUAUCACAUACACCCACACCUGUAUCACACACACACACACCUCUAUCACACACGCACGGUGUUGAUGUUGCGGAACACCAGCAGCACACACACACACACACCUGUAUCACACACACCACCUCUAUCACACACACACACCUGUACCACACACACACACCUGUAUCACACACACACACACCUGUAUCACACACACCCACACCUGUAUCACAUACACCCACACCUGUAUCACACACACACACACCUCUAUCACACACACACACCUGUACCACACACACACACCUGUAUCACACACACACACACCUGUAUCACACACACCCACACCUGUAUCACAUACACCCACACCUGUAUCACACACACACACACCUCUAUCACACACACACACCUGUACCACACACACACACCUGUAUCACACACACACACACCUGUAUCACACACACCUGUCUCACCUGCGCGCCAUGAUGCCGUACCGAUCCGCAGGUGCGCCCAGGGCGGCGUGCACGCUGCGCACGGUGUUGAUGUUGCGGAACACCAGCAGCAUGGGCCGCGGCAGCGCGCGCAGCACCUGCAGGAUGCGCGGGAAGCGCUGCGCCGCCAUGCUCUGCAUGUAGCCCCGCUCCUCGCCGCUCAGGUGCCCCUCAGGUGCGCCCUGCAGGUGAGGCCCCCGCCCCUCCGGGCCCGGCUGGGCGGCGCCCCCCCCGCCCGGCGGCUGGGCGGCGCCCCCCCCGCCCGGCAGCCGCGAGGGACGGCCCAGAGGGCGCUGCAUCAGCAUCUCCGAGAACAGGAAAUAGUCUGCGGGACAGGUGGGCGCAGGUGAGCACAGGUAACCCCCGGGUGUCCCCCAGGUAUCCGCAGAUAUCCCCCAGGUGACUCUACGUGAUCUCAGGUGAACCACAGGUAACCCCAGGUUACCCCAGGUACCCCCUCAGGUGACACCCCAGGUGACCUUGGAGAACUCCCAGGUGACCCCCAAG
rnacentral:lncRNA from 12 species